GUGGGGAAUCUUGCGCAAUGGGCGAAAGCCUGACGCAGCCAUGCCGCGUGAAUGAUGAAGGUCUUAGGAUUGUAGAAUUCUUUCACCCGGGACGAUAAUGACGGUACCCGGAGAAGAAGCUCCGGCUAACUUCGUGCCAGCAGCCGCGGUAAUACGAAGGGGGCUAGCGUUGCUCGGAAUUACUGGGCGUAAAGGGCGCGUAGGCGGACAGCUUAGUCAGAGGUGAAAGCCCAGGGCUCAACCUUGGAAUUGCCUUUGAUACUGGCUGUCUUGAGUGUGGGAGAGGUGAGUGGAACUCCGAGUGUAGAGGUGAAAUUCGUAGAUAUUCGGAAGAACACCAGUGGCGAAGGCGACUCACUGGCCCAAUACUGACUCUGAGGCGCGAAAGCGUGGGGAGCAAACAGGAUUAGAAACCCGAGUAGUCC
rnacentral:rRNA from 1 species